GACGAACGCUGGCGGCGUGCCUAAUACAUGCAAGUCGAGCGCUGAAGGCUGGUACUUGUACCAACUGGAUGAGCAGCGAACGGGUGAGUAACGUGGGGGGAAUCUGCCUUUGAGAGGGGGACAACAUUUGGGAACGAUUGCUAAUACCGCAUAAAAACUUUAAACACAAGUUUUAAGUUUGAAAGAUGCAAUUGCAUCACUCAAAGAUGAUCCCGAGUUGUAUUAGCUAGUUGGUGAGGUAAAGGCUCACCGAGGCGUGGAUACGUAGCCGACCUGAGAGGGGGCGCAGCUACAUUGGGAUGGGGAGACGAUCCAACCCCCUGCGGGAGGCACAAGUAGGGAACUCUCGGGAAUGGCCGCAAGUGUGACCAAUGGACGCCGCGCGAGUGAAGAAUGUUUUCGGGUCGUAUAAGUGUGUUGGUAGAGAAGAACGUUAGGGAGAGUGGCAAGCUCAUAAAGUGACGGUAACUACCCAAAAAGGGACGGCUAACUACGUG
rnacentral:rRNA from 1 species